rnacentral:rRNA from 1 species
AGCGAACGCUGGCGGCAGGCUUAACACAUGCAAGUCGAGCGGGCGUAGCAAUACGUCAGCGGCAGACGGGUGAGUAACGCGUGGGAACGUACCUUUUGGUUCGGAACAACACAGGGAAACUUGUGCUAAUACCGGAUAAGCCCUUACGGGGAAAGAUUUAUCGCCGAAAGAUCGGCCCGCGUCUGAUUAGCUAGUUGGUGAGGUAACGGCUCACCAAGGCGACGAUCAGUAGCUGGUCUGAGAGGAUGAUCAGCCACAUUGGGACUGAGACACGGCCCAAACUCCUACGGGAGGCAGCAGUGGGGAAUAUUGGACAAUGGGGGCAACCCUGAUCCAGCCAUGCCGCGUGAGUGAUGAAGGCCCUAGGGUUGUAAAGCUCUUUUGUGCGUGAAGAUAAUGACGGUACCGCAAGAAUAAGCCCCGGCUAACUUCGUG